GUGGAUUAGAUACCCUGGUAGUCCACGCCGUAAACGAUGAUAACUAGCUGUCCGGGCACAUGGUGCUUGGGUGGCGCAGCUAACGCAUUAAGUUAUCCGCCUGGGGAGUACGGUCGCAAGAUUAAAACUCAAAGGAAUUGACGGGGGCCUGCGCAAGCGGUGGAGCAUGUGGUUUAAUUCGAAGCAACGCGCAGAACCUUACCAGCCUUUGACAUCCUGGUCGCGGAUUAGAGAGAUCUUUUCCUUCAGUUCGGCUGGACCAGUGACAGGUGCUGCACGGCCGUCGACAACU
rnacentral:rRNA from 1 species